rnacentral:rRNA from 1 species
AUACGUAGGGUGCAAGCGUUAAUCGGAAUUACUGGGCGUAAAGCGUGCGCAGGCGGUUUUGUGAGACAGUGGUGAAAUCCCCGGGCUCAACCUGGGAACUGCCAUUGUGACUGCAAGGCUGGAGUGCGGCAGAGGGGGGUGGAAUUCCGCGUGUAGCAGUGAAAUGCGUAGAUAUGCGUGGGAACACCGAUGGCGAAGGCAAUCCCCUGGGCCUGCACUGACGCGCAUGCACGAAAGCGUGGGGAGCAAACAGGAUUAGAUACCCUGGUAGUCCACGCCCUAAACGAUGUCAACUGGUUGUUGGGUCUUCAUUGACUCAGUAACGAAGCUAACGCGUGAAGUUGACCGCCUGGGGAGUACGGCCGCAAGGUUGAAACUCAAAUGAAUUGACGGGG